rnacentral:lncRNA from 1 species
UUGAAUUGAAUGGCUUAUGAUAAUAAAUGAGCAUGAAUGGCUAAACUGAUUUUGGUGUUAGAAUUAUUUAUACUGUGUAUUCAGCCUUGAGAGGCUAAGUUGCGAUAAAUUGUCAUGUCAUGUUAGAAUGAAUUUUAUUGAUUGGUGGAUUAUAUAUUAAUUAUUUACUGCAGAGGGGGUUCCGUGGACCAACCUAUUAGAGGGGCACGGUAAACUCCAUUAUAUUAUUACCUCGAACGGAGAUGUGCGUAGGGUAUCUCCUGGGGUAAAGCUUAGGGUUCACUUCACGCCAAACCACCACGUGAAGGGGAACUCAGCCAACGCCAAGGAACGACUGUAUUUUUCUCAAACUAAAAUAUAUUUUAAGUGUAUACAAAAUUUUAACAGCCUUGGCGGACUUGGUUGGAUGCCCUGCGCAAGGUAUCACCGAG